UACGGGGGGGGCAAGCGUUGUUCGGAAUUACUGGGCGUAAAGGGCUCGUAGGCGGCCAACUAAGUCAGACGUGAAAUCCCUCGGCUUAACCGGGGAACUGCGUCUGAUACUGGAUGGCUUGAAUCCGGGAGAGGGAUGCGGAAUUCCGAGGUGUAGCGGUGAAAUGCGUAGAUAUCGAGAGGAACACCUGCGGCGAAGGCGGGUUGCUGGGCUGACACUGACGCUGAAGCGCGAAAGCUAGGGGAGCGAACGGG
rnacentral:rRNA from 1 species